rnacentral:rRNA from 1 species
GAUGAACGCUGGCGGCGUGCCUAAUACAUGCAAGUCGAGCGAACAGAUGAGGAUCUUGCUCCUCUGACGUUAGCGGCGGACGGGUGAGUAACACGUGGAUAACCUACCUAUAAGACUUGGAUAACUUCGGGAAACCGGAGCUAAUACCAGAUAAUAUAUUGAACCGCAUGGUUCAAUAGUGAAAGACGGUUUUGCUGUCACUUAUAGAUGGAUCCGCGCCGCAUUAGCUAGGUGGUAAGGUAACGGCUUACCAAGGCAACGAUGCGUAGCCGACCUGAGAGGGUGGUCGGCCACACUAGAACUGAGACACGGUGCAGACGCCUACGGGAGGCAGCAGUAGGGAAUCUUCCGCAAUGGGCGAAAGCCUGACGGAGCAACGCCGCGUGAGUGAUGAAGGUCUUCGGAGCGUAAAACUCUGUUAUUAGGGAAGAACAAAUGUGUACGUAACUAUGCACGUCUUGACGGUACCUAAUCAGAAAGCCACGGCUAACUACGUG